GUGCAGAGUUUAUGAGUCAGGCCACCAGCUGGAGGGGGAUGGAAGGGGGAAAGAAGCUCUCAUUUGAAAGUCAUUUUGUUGCACAAACCUCUGUGGUGUCGGGUUCGGCUGUGUGUGUGUGUGUCUCAGUCUCUGGUGUCCCCGUGGAAUCUGCCUACCUUCUCCGAGCCAAGUCUCAGUUUCAUCCACAUCAGAGUGCUCGAGUUCCAGUCCUGGCUCCGCUUCUGAUCCAGCUUCCUGCUGAUGUGCAUCCCGGGAGGCAGCAGGUGAUGGCUCAAGUUCCUGGGUCCCUGCCGCCCCUGUGGGAGACCUGGAUUGAGUUACAGACUCCUGGCUUCAGUCUGGCCCAGCCCUGGCUGUUUCAGAUGUUUGGAGAACGAGCCAAUGGAUGGAAGAGCUCUGUCUCCUUUUCUUUUGAAUAUGACGGUGAGACUGACGAGGCCAGGGGAGCGGGGCCACACCGCAUCACCCACAGAGACGGGAAAGCCGUGAGGUCAUCGCUCCCUGACCGCUGUCCGCCCAGGGAACCACGCACGCACCUGGAGGGCCUUUGCGGCUGCUGUUCCCUCUCCUUGGAACACUCUUCCCCAAAUCUAAGUCACCUCCUCCGAGAAGCUUUCCCUGACCACCUGCUGUGAAGCAGUCCCUCCACGUCUAUCUCCCCAGGAAUUGUAGGGUGACCAAUUCGCCCCUGCUGUCCCGAGGCUCUUCAGAAGAUCUUGAAAUUCCAGUAACACCGACAGCUUCGGGCUGAAAUUCCAGUAACGCCAACGGCUUCGGGCAGAUCCGCCAAGCUUCGGGCACAUCCCUCGAUCCUGUCCCGUCACUGACUCCGCCCCCACUGCUGGCUCAGCGCUAGGGGCAAGGCAGGGAGGUUUGUGGAACACGGACCCGAUGCCAAGUACCGGGUCCGGGUGUCACACACCUCGGCCACCCUUCAGGCAAGGGUGGCCUGGGAGGUGUCCUGGUAAGCGAUGAGGGUGGAGAGGCCGGCUUUGCCCGCACCGUAUCUGAGGGCAAUGGGGAGCCACCCUGGGCUGUAGUCAGAGGGCAGUGCUGUAUCUGAGGGCAAUGGGGAGCCACCCUGGGCUGUAGUCAGAGGCUGUAUCUGAGGGCAAUGGGGAGCCACCCUGGGCUGUAGUCAGGGGGCAGCAUGACCCCACUCGGGCUGGCAGCUGUGCAGGGCUGAGAGGGGUGGGGAGGAACCUACAAGGUGAAUGGGUUGAUUUCUGCUUUCCAGGGUGGUCGUGAGCGAGCCAGUCCCUGGGCCAAGGGGGAAGGUGCUGUGGGCGGGGCAGGUGGGAACAGAGCCGUCCAGGUUGGGACUGGGCGGAGAACAUGGGGGAGAACCCUGUUGUGUCAUGAGGGGGCUGUGUGGUCUUGGGUAGGUUGCUUUGCCUCUCUGAGUCUCAGCUGUAAAACGGCCUUAAUCUCAGUACAGCUUCCUGGGGAGCAGUGAGUGUCCAUGAGGUCGUUGAGACAUGCAUAGCACUCAAGCCCCCCCCUCCGAAAGCGCUGGAGCACCGCGGGGCGCCAUGGGAGGGGCGGCAUCCUCAAGGGUCCCCUGGUGACCCUCAUCGCCCCUGGGAUGGCCUUUGAGGUGGGAGGGGGGAGGGGAGCGGCACUCCUACGAGCAUCCCCCAGCCCGGUCAUUCCAGGUGGGCGCCCUCCGGUAACAUUUUUCGGCUUCCUGGUGGGGAGGGUGGGAACGGCGGCCAAAGCGCAGGUGCCCCUCCUGCCCCUCCCUGUCUAUUUCCAGCGUGGCUGCCUGAGGCCUCUGCCAGGUGUGGGCGAUGACUCAGAGUCAGGCUGAGCGGACAAGGCGGCCCUGGGGGCCUGAGGCUGUCACCGCCUCCUUCCCGCGGCCUUUCCCGUGGGCAUUUGGGUGGGGGGAGGGCUGGGCUGGUGCCAACGGGCUCCCAUCGGUGUCACCAAGAGGAGAUGGGACAGUGCCCCAACAGGCCCCAAAUCUGCCUCUUUGCUGGCUGGAGGGGGGCACAGGGGCCAUGUCUUGUUCAUCUCUGCUUCAAUGCACCUAGGACAGGGCUGGGCACCUGGUGGGAUGCGGCAUGGGCUCAGAAGACAGACAGACAGGCUUUAGUUCAUCCUGGGCGGGGAAUCUGCCUCUCUGAACCUCAGUUUGCUCAUCAGCGAAAUGGGAUUAGCAAUGUGGGCCUUGUUAAGGACCACUGGGAAAGAAAUCGUCUGCAUGCCUGGGACAGCAUCUGUAGUAACACUGACCACAUCGCCUUGUCAGCAGUUAUUUCCAAAUCUGCCUCUCCGUGUCGAGUCGGCUCUGAACAGAGGCCUCUGAGACAGAAGACGUGAACUUGAAUCCUGGACCUGCUUUGGCUUUGCCGUGUGACUCUGGCUAAAUCACUCACCUUCUCUGAGCCUCGGUUUCUUUGUGAUGACCACGGAGGCCACAGGGUGCAAAGGACACAGCACGGCCUCUGGCCCCCAGAGGCGGCUGCACCAGCGUGGAAGAACAAGGGGCUCGUGACCGAUCGAUCGGCAAGGAUCAGCCAUGGCAUCGGCUAGAACAGAAACAGCUUUUGUUGGCCGGGAAGAGAGCUGGGCUCUGAAACCGGCUGAGAAGCCGACUGGCCGAGUGUCCUUGGACAAGUCUUUCAGCCUCUCUGGGUUCAGCUUCCAGCGUAACAAGCAGGACCAGGAUCCAACGCCCAGGAGCCCACUGGCUCCUCCUCCUCCUCCUCCGGUGGAGGCUCGCAGCCUCUACCAGACCCCUGGGAACGGAGCCCUCGGUGAGAAGCAGAACACGGACGAUCUGACCGUGUCCCGGGUGGGCCUCGGGGCAGUGGAGUUGGUCAACCAAGCUCAUCGUGGCCCUGGCCCCAGCCAGCCACAGGGAGGAACCCGAGGCCUCUGCAGGAAAGAGGAUGUGCCCGGGGCGCGCAGCUAAUGAGCCAGCAGGAGCUGGCAGCUGAGCCCACACCUGGCCGGCCCCAAGACCAAUGCUCAGGCCACUGCUGUGGCCCGAGGCUGCCCCACACGGCCCCGUGCACCUGUCCUCCUGGCACGCUGGGCGCACGCAUUAUUUCUACACUCCUCCUGUUAUUAAUGCAGAAACAGGCCGGGGAGCGGGAGGCACUCUGCCAGGAGCACUCAGCUGUGCGGUAGAGGAGCCAAAACUUGACCUUGUUUCUCUUGCCCUUGGUCCUCUCCGGCUACACCUGGGGCUCUCACAAGGCACUUCCGCUACCUGGAUACCACCAGCCCCUGCUCUGCGCCCCAGCCACCCAAUGUCCUCUCCAAAUCCCCACCUCCUCGUCCUCCAGGCCACCAAGUUUGCAAACAACACUCUCUCCCCCUACCUCGCUCUCACCUGAUGCAUUCGUUCAUUCAUUCAUUAAAUCAUUCUCUCAACAGA